UACGUAGGCGGCAAGCGUUGUCCGGAUUUACUGGGCGUAAAGAGCGCGCAGGCGGUCGUUCAAGUCGCGUGUGAAAGCCCCCGGCUCAACUGGGGAGGGUCACGCGAUACUGAUCGACUCGAAGGCAGGAGAGGGUAGUGGAAUUCCCGGUGUAGUGGUGAAAUGCGUAGAUAUCGGGAGGAACACCAGUGGCGAAGGCGGUUCUCUGGGCCUGUGCUGACGCUGAGGAGCGAAAGCGUGGGGAGCAAACAGG
rnacentral:rRNA from 1 species